AUAAAGAUCUUCAGUUUAUAUUUAAAAUUAAACAUAGGUAGAACUAAAUUAUUAUAUAUUUAUGUUAAAAUAUGCAAUUUCGUGUUCCUACCACACACUUUUAUGGAUAUCUCUAGACAUUUUAAGCUAAUUAAGAAGCAUAAAUUGAUUGUUGGAAGGUAUAGUGUAAUAUAUCUGUACAAGUUACAUAUGAUUCAAAAUGUGUGUAAACAAUUUUUUUCAUAGUACAUAUAUAGUUUAGAGUCCAAGGCUUUUUAUUGUAUCCAAAGUAAAAUGAAAAACCAACUUUGGCAUUAACCUAGAUUCUUCAUUAAAGUAAUUUUUGCUUUUAAAAGAAUAUCCAAAAAAAUAUGAUCCUUUGGCUAUUGUAAUAUUUUAUUUUAAGUGCUAUGUAAUGAUAAAUCAAGCCAAAUAAAAUAUGUUUCUGAA